AUGUUACCCAUUGGAGCAUCAUCUGCACCACAAGAAGGUGAUGCUUAUCAUGUAGGAAUCUCUGCUGCUGGCUUUGGAGGGCCAGCUGGCGUGGCUGCCAGGUGGGUUGUUUUGUCUGCAUCCCACAGCAGACUUCUUUCCUUUCUAGAAGUGAGGACACACCCUGAAGCAGAGCAAGUUGCCUCGGUACUGUUGAAGUCAGUGAAGCUUCAGCAGUUUGUCCCGGUUGUGAAGUGCAGAAUAUUGAGAAUGUUUGUUCCAGCUCUGCCUCUGGCCUGGGAUUUCACUCUGCUCAGCUUGGUUAGAAGAGGAAGGGACCUCAGCACUACUACAUCAGGAAAUCUAAGCAGUCCCAGUCCUUUGUAGUGCCUGGGGGAAGGCUGGAUCCUCUGCCCAUCCCAGUUGUGCUGCUGCUGCUCUGAAUGUACUUCCACUCGUAUCAGCUUCAAGCUUCACUGCGAGAGAGACAUUGAGGCCCUGGAGCAUCUUCAAAGAAGGGCAACAAGGCUGGUGAGGGGUCUGGAGCACGGGCCUUAUGAGGAGCAGCUGAAGGAGCUGGGAUUGCUCAGCCUGGAGAAGAGGAGGCUCAGGGGAGACCUUAUUGCUCUCUAACUACCUGAAGUGAGGUUGUAGUGAGCUGGGGGUCAGCCUCUUCUCUUGUGUAACUGGUGGCAGGACUAGAGGGAAUGGCUUCAAGCUGCACCAGGGGAGAUUUAGGCUGGAUGUUAGGAAAUACUACUUCUCUGAAAGAGGGGUCAGCACUGGAUUGGGCUGCCCAGGGAGGUGGUGGAGUCACCAACCCUAGAGGUGUUCAAGGGGCGUUUGGAUUUUGUGUUGAGGGACAUGGUUUAGUGGGAGCUAUUGGUGAUCAGUGGAUGAUUGGACCAGGUGAUCCUGUGGGUCUUUUCCAGCCUUAGUGAGUCUAUGCUUCUAAGCUCGCAGGUCCCUGGCAUUGCUACGGCCAGCCUUCUGCUCUAACCCCAGAAAAGGGUUGGCUAAUAGGGAUUUUGAAAAUCUCAGUUUUAUUUAUAGAUAGGCUGGUUUAAACAUUUAUUAUCCCUGUUUUAUUAAACAUAAAACACUUCUGCUUGUGAAAGAGAACAAAUGCAAUAAUAAACAUAAUAAAAUGAAUCUGCUUGCAAGCAAGGAGUCCUUUGUCUAGAUGUUCUUUUAUUUGCAUCCUUGUUAUAUAUGAGCCUUUGUCUUUCUUCUCUGAUGAAAGAUGAUUUCAUUCUCUCUAUCUUUCUCUUUCCCUCUUCCUUCUCCAUUCUCCAUUAGCACCAUCUAAAUCCCUCAGAUUGCAUUAGAGGCUUGCUCUGUUUGUAAUUAAACAGUGAUGCAGUCAUAUGUAAUGCUGCAUUUGAAAGAUGCUCUCAGCUACAGUUAGAAGCUAGAGAUUCUGAGGAGGGUGCCUUAGGGUUAAUUACCUAAUAAUUUACUGUAUUAAAUGCAGCUGCAGACACUUUGGUUUUCACUAAUUGUGACCCUGAACAAAGAGUGUAAGAAUUUGCUCGUAUUUGAGCAAUAUGGCUGUCAGAAGCCUUCAAGGCAGUUGUAUGUCCUUUCCUUCUCCUUGGCUUCCGUGGCACAUGAACAGCAGUAGGACAUCAUUGAGAGAACGAGGUUGUCACCAUAUUCCUUUUACAAUUAUUUUCUUAAUGGAAUUAAAAUAUCAGAGUAGAGGUAGGUACACCAGUUGACUGCUAUUGAACUAUAGGCUAUCAAAUGUGUUAUGUUAUGGAGGCAAUAUUAAUAGGGGCUGAUGUUAGAAAGACUGACACAAGCAUGAACUGAGUGCCAGAGAAACCCCAGCUCUACACCAUCUUGGUCUUCUCCUUGAAACUUUAUUACAGCAUAUGGUCCAGGUCUCCAGGUGGAAUAAAUCAGUGCAGCCACACUGAUUUCAUAAAAAAAAAAAAACAGUAAAUGUGAAAAGAAAUGUACUCAACUGUGCUACUACGAAUCUGCCAUUCAAUCUGUAAGAUUGCAGCCAUCAGUGUGCAUUAUGUGAUAGUAGCUGUUCUGCUAGGAAGACAAAGUCACCAAACACAACCCUUGCUCACAAUCAUCUUCUCGGAGACAUCCUCAAAGCAAGCUGUAUGAAGAACUAGCAUUUCUAACCUGCCUUGCCAACACCUUGCUGUAGUGACUCUCAAGGGAGUAGAAAUAGCUCUGUAGAGGACAGCACAGAGCAAACCCAAAUACAUAUAGAGUACAGGACAGUCACAGUCCAACCCACCUUUGUGUUUGUCCUUCCUUAGCUCCUACAAAAAUACUCAGAAAG
ensembl:lncRNA